ensembl:snRNA U1 U1 spliceosomal RNA
AUGCUUACCUGGCAGGGGAGACACCAUGAUCAAGAAGGAGGUUCACCCAGGGUGAGGCUCAGCCAUUGCACUCCGGUUGUGCUGACCCCUGCAAAUUCUCCAAAUGUGGGAAUCUUGACUGCAUAAUUUAUGGUAGUGGGGGACUGCGUUCGCGCUCUCCCCUG